rnacentral:rRNA from 1 species
UACGUAGGGCGCAAGCGUUGUCCGGAAUUAUUGGGCGUAAAGAGCUCGUAGGCGGUUUGUCGCGUCUGCUGUGAAAACUCGGGGCUUAACCCCGGGCCUGCAGUGGGUACGGGCAGACUAGAGUGCGGUAGGGGAGACUGGAAUUCCCGGUGUAGUGGUGAAAUGCGUAGAUAUCGGGAGGAACACCAGUGGCGAAGGCGACUACCUGGCCUGUUCUUGACGCUGAGGCGCGAAAGCUAGGGGAGCAAACGGG